UACGUAGGGGGCAAGCGUUGUCCGGAAUCAUUGGGCGUAAAGAGCGUGUAGGCGGUUCGGUAAGUCGGCUGUGAAAGUCCAGGGCUCAACCCUGGGAUGGCCGGUCGAUACUGCCGGACUAGAGUUCGGAAGAGGCGAGUGGAAUUCCCGGUGUAGCGGUGAAAUGCGACAGAUAUCGGGAGGAACACCUAUGGCGAAGGCAGCUCGCUGGGACGUUACUGACGCUGAGACGCGAAAGCGUGGGGAGCAAACAGG
rnacentral:rRNA from 1 species